GCUCACGAGAGGCAGCGACAAGCACCUGGCUGGCUGCCCGGCAACCUCAACUCCGUCUGAGGUGCUCCAGGGGAAGAGCUGGCUGGACGGCGCCCGCCGUCCGGCAAGGACGGAGC
rnacentral:ncRNA from 2 species